UUGAUGUUCUAGACAUUGAGAAGGUGUCAAAUUAUGUUGCUGGGUUGCAAAAUGAAGAUGGAUCAUUUUCCGGGGAUGAAUGGGGUGAAGUUGAUACAAGAUUCUCCUAUAUUGCAAUAUGCUGCCUUGCAUUGGUGCAUCAGUUGAAUAAAAUUAAUGUUGAGAAGGUUGUGAAGUAUAUAGUUAGUUGCAAAAACCUGGAUGGUGGAUUUGGAUGUACACCGGGUGGAGAGUCUCAU